rnacentral:rRNA from 1 species
UACGUAGGGAGCAAGCGUUAUCCGGAUUUAUUGGGUGUAAAGGGUGCGUAGACGGGAAUUUAAGUUAGUUGUGAAAUCCCCCGGCUUAACUGAGGAACUGCAACUAAAACUGAAUUUCUUGAGUGCGGGAGAGGAAAGUGGAAUUCCUAGUGUAGCGGUGAAAUGCGUAGAUAUUAGGAGGAACACCAGUGGCGAAGGCGACUUUCUGGACCGUAACUGACGUUGAGGCACGAAAGUGUGGGGAGCAAACAGG